GUAAAGGUGCCUGAUUAAAAGGGUUGUCUUGAUGUGGCAAAAAUGGGUUGUUCCUCUUUACU
rnacentral:tRNA from 1 species